rnacentral:rRNA from 1 species
GUAGGUGUCAAGCGUUGUCCGGAAUUAUUGGGCGUAAAGCGCGCGCAGGCGGUCCUUCAAGUCUGAUGUGAAAGCCCACGGCUCAACCGUGGAGGGUCAUUGGAAACUGGGGGACUUGAGUACAGAAGAGGAAAGCGGAAUUCCAAGUGUAGCGGUGAAAUGCGUAGAGAUUUGGAGGAACACCAGUGGCGAAGGCGGCUUUCUGGUCUGUAACUGACGCUGAGGCGCGAAAGCGUGGGGAGCAAACAGGGAUUAGAUACCCUGGUAGUCCACGCCGUAAACGAUGAGUGCUAAGUGUUAGGGGGUUUCCCGCCCCUUAGUGCUGCAGCUAACGCAUUAAGCACUCCGCCUGGGGAGUACGGCCGCAAGGCUG